CGUUCAUCAUCAGCAGGGCAAUGCUGCGGCGUCCCUCCUUUCCCGCGUUAUUAACUUCUUAAACGGCGGCUUACGUGUGCUUUUUCCGCAAUGCUUAUUCGUGAGUUUGGCAACAGGUACUGUACGACGUUGUUUGCAGGGUCCUCCCGGACAGCCUGGAUUUCCGGGAACCCCAGGAAUCCCGGGUCUACCAGGACAGGAUGGCCCCCGGGGACCCACGGGACCGGCGGGGUGCAAUGGGACCAAGGUGAGAAACGGCAUCUUGGUGCGGUGAGGGUAGACUGGUGAGACCCAGGUCACCCGAGUCUGUACUGGAUGGCGGGCAGCACCGUGACACUGCCGUUUCACCAGGGACUUGUGGGUGGGCUACACGUAACCCCGUUUCGUGUUCCUAGGGUGAACGAGGAUUGCCUGGAAACUCUGGCUUUCCUGGGGUACAAGGUCCCCCGGGUCCAUCUGGUAUACCGGGCGCAAAGGCAAGAAUUUUCCUUUCAAUCCCCUAUUUUUUCAAUAAAAUGCAACACACUCACACACACUUUCUGAACCGCUCGUCCCAUACGGGGUCGCGGGGAACCGGAGCCUAACCCGGCAACACAGGGCGUAAGGCCGGAGGGGGAGGGGACACAC
rnacentral:lncRNA from 1 species